rnacentral:tRNA from 1 species
GAGGGUAUAGUUUAGUGGUAGGGCGCAUGCUUAGCACACAUGAGGUCCUGGGUUCAAUCCCCAGCACUUCCA